AGAGGACAAAAGGGCCAGGAAAGUGUAUGGUGCAUGUGUUUGGAGCCUGCUUGUGGGAUUGCGUGUGUGUAGAGUGUGGUGUGGUAUUGUGUAAAUAGGUCAAUUUCAUAUGUGUUUGUGGUGUAAUAUGUGUGGCUAGGGGCUGUAGAGAGUGUGUGUAUAGGUGGCAUAGUGUUAUAGGGGAUGUAGCGAGUGUGUGCAUACGGGCUGUAGUGUGUGUGUAUAGGUGAUGUAGUGUGUGUAGGGGUUGUAGAGAGGGUGUGUUUAGAGAAAGUUGUAUGUGUUUGCUGACAAGGAAUGUAGUGUGUGUGUAGGUGGUGCAGUGUGUGUGUAGGAGAUCUAGUGUGUAAAGGACCCAGAGUGUGUAUAGGAGAUUGUGUGUGUGUGUGUGUGUGUGUAUAGAGGAUUAAGAGUGCAUAUAAGGUAAGGGAUCUAGCGUGUAUCUGGAGCGUAAUGUAUGUAGUGCUGUAGUGUGUGUGUGUGUGUGUGUG